CUCCUCUUCCGUCGCCGACAUCAACAAUGGAGUCUCGUGAAAUUGUGCCAGGAAUGUAAACGCUGUGGGGAGCUUGCGGGUUUAUAAGAAGUGGCGUAUGCUGUAAGGAUUGAUUCAGUAGGCGGCGUUGCUAUACAAUACAUGUCUCCAGAAAUGAGUUAUUUAAGAUACAUAUAGGAUGAGAUUGAUAUAAAGCUAAACUUGAUCCCUCCAUAUCAAAUAAAUUUCAUGUCUAGGCAGCUCUGCGGCAACGGUCUCGACUUUCCAAGCAGGUUGUUCUCUGUUUGUUUAGCUACAAAAAAUUCUUAUUCUCACUUGCUAAAUAAAUGAAGUUCUUUUGUGAUGUUGUGGUUUCACUUGAACGUGUAGAGACUAUUGGUUUGGUGAGUAAAUCUGAUGAUUUCAAAUGAA